AAUCGAGGGUUUCGGGGACGCCGAGCGGCACUUUCCUCUUCCCAGCGAGUGAAGGAGGGCAGUCGGCGGCUCUCGCGCCCCGGCCACUUUCCCUGCGCGAUUCCCGGAGCUCCCUGCAGGAGGUUUGUUCAGACCUGGUUUAAGCCCCUGGAUUAACGCAGCACAGACCCUCAGACCCACUGCAGCUGUGGGCAGGGUGACGCAAGCUCAUUAAAUAUUCCCACAAGCCUCGUGCCGCUUACAGUUUAUGUGCUUCAUAAAAUCCUCUGGGAAGUCAUCUUCUCUUGAGAUCUCCUUACAGGGAUUUGCU
rnacentral:sRNA from 1 species